UACAUAGGAUGCAAGCGUUAUCCGGAUUUACUGGGCGUAAAACGAGCGCAGGCGGGUUAACAAGUUUGGUAUGAAAGGCUUUUGCUUAACGAAAGUUUGUAUCAAAAACUGUUAAUCUAGAGUGUAGUAGAGAGUUCUGGAAUUCCAUGUGGAGCGGUGGAAUGCGUAGAUAUAUGGAAGAACACCAGUGGCGAAGGCGAGAACUUAGGCUAUCACUGACGCUUAGGCUCGAAAGUGUGGGGAGCAAAUAGG
rnacentral:rRNA from 1 species